rnacentral:rRNA from 1 species
UGGGGAAUAUUGCACAAUGGGCGCAAGCCUGAUGCAGCCAUGCCGCGUGUAUGAAGAAGGCCUUCGGGUUGUAAAGUACUUUCAGCGGGGAGGAAGGGAGUGAGGUUAAUAACCUCAUUCAUUGACGUUACCCGCAGAAGAAGCACCGGCUAACUCCGUGCCAGCAGCCGCGGUAAUACGGAGGGUGCAAGCGUUAACCGGAAUUACUGGGCGUAAAGCGCACGCAGGCGGUCUGUCAAGUCGGAUGUGAAAUCCCCGGGCUCAACCUGGGAACUGCAUUCGAAACUGGCAGGCUGGAGUCUUGUAGAGGGGGGUAGAAUUCCAGGUGUAGCGGUGAAAUGCGUAGAGAUCUGGAGGAAUACCGGUGGCGAAGGCGGCCCCCUGGACAAAGACUGACGCUCAGGUGCGAAAGCGUGGGGAGCAAACAGG